GCCAUCUUGCAGUAGUCAGAGCCAAGUUGGUCGGUAUCACAGACACUUGGAGCUGAGCCAACAACAUCAUGACGACGGAGAAGCCCUUGGUGAAAAUAACUGCUGCAGAUUGGGUCCCCUAUACCAAGAUCAAUAUGAAGGAAAAUGGAGAAAUCGAGGUAGCAGGACCUAUGGGCAACUUGCUUGAAAUAUUUGCAAAGUUGCUUGAUUUUGAGUACCAACUACUACCAGCCCCCGCCAAUCUGUGGGGUAUACCACUGCCUAAUGGUUCGUGGACGGGCAUGAUGGGUCUUUUAC